UACGUAGGGGGCUAGCGUUGUCCGGAAUCAUUGGGCGUAAAGCGCGUGUAGGCGGUCCGGUAAGUCCGCUGUGAAAGUCGGGGGGCUCAACCCUCGAAUGCCGGUGGAUACUGUCGGGCUAGAGUGCGGAAGAGGCGAGUGGAAUUCCUGGUGUAGCGGUGAAAUGCGCAGAUAUCAGGAGGAACACCAAUUGCGAAGACAGCUCGCUGGGACGUUACUGACGCUGAGACGCGAAAGCGUGGGGGAGCAAACAGG
rnacentral:rRNA from 1 species